rnacentral:rRNA from 1 species
UUUUUCCUACGGGAGGCAGCAGUGAGGAAUAUUGGUCAAUGGGCGGAAGCCUGAACCAGCCAAGUCGCGUGAGGGAAUAAGGCCCUACGGGUCGUAAACCUCUUUUGCCGGGGAGCAAGGGCCGGGACGCGUCCCGGCCCGGAGAGUACCCGGAGAAAAAGCAUCGGCUAACUCCGUGCCAGCAGCCGCGGUAAUACGGAGGAUGCGAGCGUUAUCCGGCUUUAUUGGGUUUAAAGGGUGCGUAGGCGGGCUUUUAAGUCAGCGGGAAGA